rnacentral:rRNA from 1 species
AACGAACGCUGGCGGCAUGCCUAACACAUGCAAGUCGAACGAGAUCUUCGGGUCUAGUGGCGCACGGGUGCGUAGCGCGUGGGAAUCUGCCCUUUGGUUCGGAAUAACAGUUGGAAACGACUGCUAAUACCGGAUGAUGACGAAAGUCCAAAGAUUUAUCGCCAGAGGAUGAGCCCGCGUGGGAUUAGCUAGUUGGUGUGGUAAAGGCGCACCAAGGCGACGAUCCUUAGCUGGUCUGAGAGGAUGAUCAGCCACACUGGGACUGAGACACGGCCCAGACUCCUACGGGAGGCAGCAGUGGGGAAUAUUGGACAAUGGGCGAAAGCCUGAUCCAGCAAUGCCGCGUGAGUGAUGAAGGCCUUAGGGUUGUAAAGCUCUUUUACCCGGGAUGAUAAUGACAGUACCGGGAGAAUAAGCUCCGGCUAACUCCGUGCCAGCCGCCGCGGUAA